rnacentral:rRNA from 1 species
GAUGAACGCUGGCGGCGUGCCUAAUACAUGCAAGUCGAGCGAACAGACGAGGAGCUUGCUCCUCUGACGUUAGCGGCGGACGGGUGAGUAACACGUGGAUAACCUACCUAUAAGACUGGGAUAACUUCGGGAAACCGGAGCUAAUACCGGAUAAUAUAUUGAACCGCAUGGUUCAAUAGUGAAAGACGGUUUUGCUUUCACUUAUAGAUGGAUCCGCGCCGCAUUAGCUAGUUGGUAAGGUAACGGCUUACCAAGGCAACGAUGCGUAGCCGACCUGAGAGGGUGAUCGGCCACACUGGAACUGAGACACGGUCCAGACUCCUACGGGAGGCAGCAGUAGGGAAUCUUCCGCAAUGGGCGAAAGCCUGACGGAGCAACGCCGCGUGAGUGAUGAAGGUCUUCGGAUCGUAAAACUCUGUUAUUAGGGAAGAACAAAUAUGUAAGUAACUAUGCACGUCUUGACGGUACCUAAUCAGAAAGCCACGGCUAACUACGUG